UAUAUAUAUAUAUGUAUUGUUGCGUCAGCGAGGUCACGUGACUAGUAUCACGCCACUUCUUUCUUGAACCUUCCCGAGAUUACUAGAUUGGCGGUAGUCGGGUAUAUACAAGAUGGUGACAACUUAAUGGGACAAUGUGUAGGUAGUGAGUAAUUGAUUUGCAGUCAGGGAGUAUUGUUGAAGUUAACGUUCGUUUUAGUGCGUAUGUUG